UAGUGAGCUAAUGUCAUACACAUGUAAUUGUUUUAGGUGUAUGGGAAAUAAUUAAAUGUUUGUUUACAUUGUACAGAUGAACGUUCAGCCCACUCACUGUUGACACCAGUGACACAGUAUUGACCAGAUCUCCUGGAAGUGCCCCCUGACGCAGACCCAGUUGUUGGGUAGCCACCCAUGCACGUUGACACAGCCAGCACCGAGCACCCAGGGGGAUGGAACCAGGAAUGGAGGAUGGUCCAAUAGGGUAGCAUCAUGAAGGCAGUUUACCCCUGAAACUUUUUACAAAGGACCAUCAUCGUCAGAAAAGUUCCUUUAACCCUUUAUCUCCCA